CGCCCGUCACACCAUGAGAGUUGAUAAUACCAGAAGUCGGUAUUCUAACCGUAAGGAGGAAGCCGCCCAAGGUAGGAUUGAUGAUUAGGGUGAAGUCGUAACAAGGUAUCCGUACGAGAACGUGCGGAUGGAUCACCUCCUUUCUAUGGAGUUAUUACUUUAUAGUAAUUUAAUUAGUUUUAAUGACCGUUAUGUUUAGUUUUCAGAGGUUAGUUUCUCUGACAAUAACAAGAAAAAUGUUAUUGAAAUUGUUCUUUGAAAACUGGAUAAUAGACAUCUAGUUAUUUUAAUCAUAUGAUUAAAAUAACAAUAAUUCAAAAUUUCUGUUAUUUUUAAAAAAAUAACUAAAAUUUCACAGUUAUAUUUGUAAAUGAUUCUCAAAACUGAUUUAAAAUCAGGUCAAAUAAUUAAAUUAAUAAAACUUUGAAGUUACAAAGGGCGUAUGGUGAAUGCCUUGGGAAUAGGAGACGAUGAAGGACGUGACUACCUGCGAUAAGGUUCGGGGAGCUGGAAGUAAGCUUUGAUCCGGACAUGUCCGAAUGGGGAAACCCGGUGAGAUUAAUCUCUCAUCAUCCUAUAAUGAAUAAAUAGUUAUAGUGAAGGUAUACCUAGGGAAUUGAAACAUCUCAGUACCUAGAGGAAAAGAAAGCGAAUGCGAUUCUCUUAGUAGCGGCGAGCGAACGGGGAACAGCCCAAACCAGAUUUAUCUGGGGUUGUAGGACCAUAUGAGUAGAGUUACAAAACUUGUUUAUAGUAGAAAUGGUUGGGAAACCAUGCCACAGAGGGUGAUAGCCCCGUAUACGAAAUGAACAAGACUCGAAAUGGAAUCCUGAGUACGGCGAGACACGUGAAAUCUUGUCGGAAUCAACGCGGACCACCGCGUAAGGCUAAAUACUACCUAUUCACCGAUAGUAAACCA
rnacentral:sRNA from 1 species